rnacentral:rRNA from 1 species
GACGAACCGUGCGAACGUUAUUCGGAAUCACUGGGCUUAAAGCGCGUGUAGGCGGGGUGGCACGUCGGUCGCUGAAAGCCCCCGGCUCAACCGGGGAAGGGGCGCCGAUACGACCACCCUGGAGGGACGUAGGGGGACCUGGAACUUCCGGUGGAGCGGUGAAAUGCGUUGAGAUCGGAAGGAACGCCCGUGGCGAAAGCGAGGUCCUGGACGUCUACUGACGCUGAGACGCGAAAGCUAGGGGAGCAAAUGGG